CUCCGGCGCCUCAGGAUGGGUCUGCGGCCUAUCAGGGUAGUAGUGGGUGUAACGUACCUACUAGCCUACGACGGGUACGGGUUGUGAGAGCAAGAGCCCGGAGAUGGAUUCUGAGACAUGAAUCCAGGCCCUACGGGGUGCAGCAGGCGCGAAAACUUUACAAUGCGGGCAACCGCGAUAAGGGGACCUCGAGUGCUGGGUUACAAACCUGGCUGUUGGGCUGCCUAAAAAGCAGUCUAUAGCAAGGGCCGGGC
rnacentral:rRNA from 1 species